UACGUAGGGUGCAAGCGUUAAUCGGAAUUACUGGGCGUAAAGCGUGCGCAGGCGGUUCUUUAAGACAGAUGUGAAAGCCCCGGGCUCAACCUGGGAAUUGCAUUUGGGACUGAAUGGCUAGAGAUCGGGAGAGGAGAGUGGAAUUCCCAGUGUAGAGGUGAAAUUCGUAGAUAUUGGGAAGAACACCAGUGGCGAAGGCGGCUCUCUGGACCGAUACUGACGCUGAGGCGCGAAAGCGUGGGGAGCAAACAGG
rnacentral:rRNA from 1 species